CUUGGGCGUGGACCCUGACCAGACAAACGCAUAGUCCUCAGGAGGCGUGUAAGCGUGGUGGCGGCGCGCGGAGACGAAUGAGGAAGACUGGCAUGACGGGCGCACGAGUAAUCAAGGAAGAUACUCGCUCCGUCUCCCUUGCCAAUAGUUGCUUCACGCCGCGCUGGACGCCAAGGUCUUCCUGUACUCCAAGUUCCCCAGCAGCACCCAGCAGCCUGCGCCUCGCCUCCAUGGCAUCGCACGUGGGGACUUGGGUCAAGCACGAUGAAUUGUGAUGAGACGCAAACUGUGCUGAUGUGGGAUUGUGCUGACGUCACUGGUGUGGUAUAGCGACCACCCUCCGCUGAAACGCAGACAGCGAGGACAGACGCUGCCCAAGAAAGCGAGUCUCUAUCAAUAGAUACACUAAUAUAAGUACGGCCGCAUCAUCUGCCCACGCAACAUAAGUACGACCGCAUCAUCUGCCCACGCAGUCUUUGCCUCGAGCCGCACAAGACCGUGUUCGUGAACGGAUGAUGGAAGUAAAACAAAAUUGUAACACGAAUAAAAAAAAAUAAAAUAAAUAAAUAAAUAAAUAAAAAUAGAGAAAAAAACAAACUGUAAUUCGAGUACAAAAAGAGGCAAGUUGUAAUACGAGUAAGAAAAGAUGGGAAAAAUAAAGGCAAAUUGUAAUACAAGCAAAAAAAAAAAAAGUGGGGAAAAAAUAAACUAAAAUUGUAAUGAAUAGGGGAGGAAAGUAAACUAAAAUUGUAAUCAAAAUGAGGAAGCUCUAAUUGUAAUCAAAACAAUAAUUGAAAUGUAACACUGCGUAAGCCUGCAACAUGAUCAGGCAAAGGGACGCCAGCGUGCCCGCCUUGUGGCCAGCGUGGCUACACUGGGGGAAGCCAAAACUUCUGAUGACCUUGGGGGAAAGGUUCAGGUUCUAGGCGGCGCGUGUCUGGCCGUGUCUCAGGGUGCAUCACAGCUAGUGGAGGAUCGCCUGAAGAUCAAGGUCAGAAGCGUACUCACCGUGGUCUGAAGAAACAAUAGUAAAGUCCGCUGCUUCGCUUGCUUUAAAGUCAUUGUCAUUCAUGCGACCAUUGUGAACCGUGAAUAAGUAUUGGAGAUGCCACGAGGGAGACUUCGUGUCCUCUGUGCCAGCUGGUGGUACCGUAGCGUCAAGCUAACACUGACAAGGGGGAUGCGACUGUUAGUCUUGCAGGUCAGCCAGACACUCCACGCCAGGCUGAUGGGUGUACAAAGAGGCAGUGUGGCGUUUGGCGACAAUGAAUUUAAUCGUUUAAUAAAAUCCUGUGUCAAUUUAACAGUGAAAUGGCGCAGCAGCUUGACAGUCGAGGCGAGGUAGUUACACUAUCUGAUGCGUGACUAAGUCGCGUCACUUAUCAGAGACUUUAAAUCCACUCACAACAAAGAGAGAGAGAGAGAGAGAGAGAGAGAGAGAGAGAGAGAGAGAGAGAGAGAGAGAGAGAGAGAGAGAAACACCAGACUAUUUCCGAUUGUUACUCUAAACUAAUAGAUAUCAAAUUUUGGUCUCAUUUGAUUUAAAAGAUUUUCGUAAUGAGAUUAUCGCUUUUGGUGCACAUCCGCAUUUCCAGUUCAUCAGUAUCAUCAUAACAAUGAAUAACCAUCAGAAUUAGAAUGAACUGUAGAAAUGAAGGGAGACUGUUCAUCACCUUGUUAGUGUGGAGAAGCUAUUCACGGAGCGCUGGUUCUCAACCUGUGGUUCUUGAGAGGAAUUUUGGAUUGACCCCACGAAUACACAGACACUUACUGCUGUCAAUACGUAAGGUACUAAUUAAUUCAUAGCCGCAUUUAAUGAUACAUUUUGAAUACUGAAAGAUAUAUGAGCAGAUUUUUUUUUUUUUCUUCACCGGACACAUUUGGACACAUUUGUUAUUAUUUACUAAUGAAUUCUUGAACGCAAACGUUAUGUUUUGACUGUAUUCUGCUGUAUUCUAAGUAAGGGAUUCGUGGCCACUGCUGAAAGAUUUUAAAGGGUGCAUGAGAUUUAAAAGGUUGAGAACUUCUGCCCAAGAGAACCUGUUUGACAGAGAUGUUUAGGGAAUUUCGUCUCUGAUGUGUUUGUUGCCAGUCUCUUGGACUGUAGGAAAUAAUCCGAUGAGUGGGACCUUCCUGGGACAUGCGGGGGAUAUCAGAGGAGUCGGUGCUUUCCUGACGAGAUCGGUUGUUUAGAAGCUUAAAGAACGUACCAGUUGGCGCCAGACUAAAGAAAAAUCAAGCCAGUAAACUUACUAGUCUGUAGUUCUCCUCGGCUGAAGCGCAGUAGAAGAGACAGAAGUGCUUUUUAACAGGGAACAUCACGUUAACUGAGAUCAAGCACGAAAAAAGGAAAGAAUACAGACAUUGGAGAGAGUCACUGAAAGAAGUCACGAAGAGGUGACGCAUCCACAUGCAAGGACAUGGGAAAGAUAACAGACUGACUAGCACACGAUUAACGAAACUCUGAUUAAAGCAAUUAUAUUUGUUGAACUUAAGUAACUGUCGUUAAGAAGUGUUCUGCUUUGUAUGUAGCAUACAGCAGAGAAUAGACAGCUUGGGUGUGUGCGCCUCAUGUUACAGAGAACGUGAUUAAGAACUCUUCAUUGUUGCGCAGGUGCAGCGCUCUCUCGUAACUCUACCCGGCGCCAUAUUAACUCAGCGAAAUGACUAAUUUUCAGUCGUUAAUUUAGAUCGCGGAGCGCGCACCACCACACAUCGCUUGCAUGAGGGCAGAGAGGACAAGAUGGCCGCGGAGUGAAGUGCGCGUUAGCUUUGGGAUAAUCGGGGCCGGCGCUGCUAAGUCACGAUGCAAUUUGUCCCGAAGAAGAGAUAGACAUAACUUUACAAAAAAGGAGGAUUAGUAUUUCAUUACUGCACAGGGUGUGUUCAGCUCAGCCAUGGGGAGGAAGGGAGGGAGUUCACGAGGUGGUGCAAUUGAUUGUCAUUUGUUUGGCACAUAAGAAGGUGCUGGAGAAGAACUGCGUCUCACGUCCCCGGUGAUCUCGAUUCUUUCCAACGUGUCAAGGAGUCAGGUCAAGGUCAGAGAGAGAGAGAGAGAGAGAGAGAGAGAGAGAGAGAGAGAGAGAGAGAGAGAGAGAGAGAGAGAGAAAGCCCGUUCCAUUAUGCCCCUCCUUAGAAAUUUAUUAUAAAAGGAGACUCGAGUUUGGCUACAAAACCAGAUGUGACUUUAUUUACUUAUUCAUUCAUGAUCAUUUUACUUUUCAAGCUUGCAACGACUAUAGGCGCGUUCCUCGUGGCCUAGAUGAUGGACCUACAUGUAUUUUUGAAGGCUCGGAUG